rnacentral:rRNA from 1 species
UGAAUACGAGACGCUAAGGCGUCGAAGUAGUGUAUGUCAUACUUCCAAGAAAAGCUUGCACUGUCAUAAGUAAAAAAUGCCUGUACCAUAACCGACACAGGUGGGUAGGUAGAGUAUACUAAGGGGCGCGAGAUAACUCUCUCUAAGGAACUCGGCAAAAUAACUCCGUAACUUCGGGAGAAGGAGUACCUUAUUCUAUAAGGUUGCAAUAACAAGAUCCAAGCAACUGUUUAUCAAAAACACAGGUCUCCGCUAAGUCGUAAGACGAUGUAUGGGGGCUGACGCCUGCCCAGUGCCAGAAGGUUAAAGAAGUCGGUUAGCAUUAGCGAAGCUGGUAACUGAAGCCCUGGUGAACGGCGGCCGUAACGAUAACGGUCCUAAGGUAGCGAAAUUCCUUGUCGGGUAAGUUCCGACCCGCACGAAAGGCGUAAUGAUUUGGAUACUGUCUCGGAGAGGGGCUCGGUGAAAUAGACUUGUCUGUGAAGAUGCGGACUACCUGCACCAGGACAGAAAGACCCUAUGAAGCUUUACUGUAACUUGAAAUUGAAAUUGGACUUUAUUCGCGUAGUAUAGGUGGGAGGUGUUGAUUAUAAUCUUGCGGGAUUAUUGGAGCCAUCAGUGAGAUACCACUCUUGUAAUGUUAGAUUUCUAACUUUGAAUCAUUAUCUGGUCAAAGGACAGUUUCAGGCGGGCAGUUUGACUGGGGCGGUCGCCUCCCAAACGGUAACGGAGGCGUACAAAGGUAUCCUCUGAACGGGUAGAAAUCGUAUCUAGGGUGUAAAGGCAUAAGGAAGCUUGACUGUGAGACCUACAAGUCGAACAGGGACGAAAGUCGGUCUUAGUGAUCUGACGGUACUGAGUGGAAAGGCCGCCACUCAACGGAUAAAAGUUACUCUAGGAUAACAGGCUGAUCUCCCCCAAGAGUUCACAUCGACGGGGAGGUUUGGCACCUCGAUGUCGGCUCAUCGCAUCCUGGGGCGGUAGUACGUCCCAAGGGUUGGGCUGUUCGCCCAUGAAAGCGGUACGCGAGCUGGGUUCAGAACGUCGUGAGACAGUUCGGUCCAUAUCCGGUGUAGGCGUUAGAAUAUUGAGAGGAGCCUUCUUUAGUACGGGAGGACCGAGAAGGACAUACCUCUGGUGUACCAGUUAUCGUGCCAACGGUAAACGCUGGGUAGCUAUGUAUGGAGUGGAUAACCGCUGAAAGCAUCUAAGUGGGAAGCCCACCUCAAGAUAAG